GGUUUCAGAUGAAAAAGUCAUCAACAACAAAGUUGUAUAACUCAUCAAGAUCUAUAACUUCUAUUUUGGUCAUUUCUUCAUCCGAUAAAGUGAUGGUAACAUUUUCACAAAAUUUACAUAUCUCUCUAUAAUUUAUAAAACUACAUAAGAGAUGUACAUUUUGUGAACGAUAUUAGAAAUAACUUUGUCGGAUAAAGAAAUGACCAAAAUAAAAGUUAUAGAUCUUGAUGAGUUAUACAACUUUGUUGUUGAUGACUUUUUUAGUUGAAAUC
rnacentral:pre_miRNA from 1 species